CAAUACAUGAUACUGGUCAACCCAGAGUCAUUUGUUCUAUUUUUAUACGACCGCAAAAAAAUUUUUGAAGUCGUAUAUUGGUAUGACGUUGGCGUCGUCGUCGUCCGGCGUCGUCCGAAGACGCAUUAGUUUUCGCACUCUAACUUUAGUUUAAGUGAAUGGAUCUCUAUGAAAUUUUACCAUAAGGUUCAAUACCACAAAAGGAAGGUUGGGAUUGAUUUUGGGGGUUAUGGUACCAACAGUUAAGGAAUAAGGGGCCAAAAAGGGGCCAAAAAUGAGCAUUUUCUAGUUUCCAGACAAUAACUGUGGAACGGUGUAUGGAUCUCUCUGAAAUUAUACUACAAGUUUCCAUACCACAAAGGGAUGGUUAGGAUUUGCUUUGGGGGGUUAUGGCUCAAACCGUUUAGGAAUUAGGGGCAAAAAAGGGGGAAAAACAAGGUUGUCCUGGUUAAUGGACAAAUACUUUAGUACAAAACAUAAUUUAAAGCAGUGUAAGGGAGAUAAAUCAAAUACAUCAUUGAAAUUAUCUCCCUUACACUGCUUUUAAAUUAUGUAUAAAGUAAUGGUUAAUGAACAAUAAAGAUAAUCUAAAACAGUGUAAGGGAGGUAAUCCAAAUACAACGUUUUGGUUACUUCCCUUACACUGCUUUUAAAUUAUGUUUAAAGAAAUGCAUAUUUAUAAAGGAAGACCAGUAAAAAUAUCUGCAAAUGUUUUCAUCUUUUUUUUUUACAAAAAAAUCCAUAUGAAAGAUUUGACACUAUAUUUUUAUUAAUUCUAUUAUAAAAUAGAUUAACAUGAUUAAGUUAGCACUAUGGUAAAUUUAAAUGGGUAAUUAUGGUUGCCAUCUCCAUUGGAAAUUUGAAUUGAGAUUAUGACCAUAUCUUGAGGGAAAGAAUUUUUUUGGGGGAAAAGGGGGGGGGGGGGGGGGGG